GACGAACCGUGCGAACGUUGUUCGGAAUCACUGGGCGUAAAGGGUGCGUAGGCGGGUCUUUAAGUCAGGGGUGAAAUCCUGGAGCUCAACUCCAGAACUGCCUUUGAUACUGAGGAUCUUGAGUUCGGGAGAGGUGAGUGGAACUGCGAGUGUAGAGGUGAAAUUCGUAGAUAUUCGGAGGAACACCAGUGGCGAAGGCGGCUCACUGGCUCGGUACUGACGCUGAGGUGCGAAAGCGUGGGGAGCAAACAGG
rnacentral:rRNA from 1 species